GCAGUCGUGGCCGAGUGGUUAAGGCGAUGGACUAUAAAUCCAUUGGGGUCUCCCCGCACAGGUUCGAAUCCUGUCGACUGCG
rnacentral:tRNA from 1 species